rnacentral:lncRNA from 1 species
AGACCAUUAAUUACAAUAAAGUGACAACACAUAUGGCUCCUGCCGUGUUGCCGUACGCGCGACACGCAGGUCACGAAUUAGUUACACACAUGCAUCACAUACACAAGGGGGCCAUACUGAUCACAAGAUACAUACAUACAUCCUGCAAAACAGAGUUAGGCGUCCUAACGUUCCAAACUUGGGAGGCCCGAAACUCCAUCUUCCAAGCUGAAUUUGGGAAAUCUAAUCUCGCCGAAAACGGCGAAGCGGUUGAAAUUCACGUGUAACUUUUUUUGUAGAUCAAUUUUCGUAUAGAAAUCGCCCCGAUCCGAGAUCG